AGAGCCACGCUGUCUUGCCUGAAAAUGAUAAUGUGUGUCCAUUUGGUGUGUUGAUUUGUAUAGAAUCAUUUUUCAAAUGGCUACCUUUGUCAAUCAUCAGAUAUUUAUAGCCUACCUCCUAUUUGCGGUAUACCAUACAAGAUUAAUAAUAGACUUGAGGAUGAAUGAGGUACAUGCCACCAUUGACUCCUGGCUUCUGCGUCCUGCUUAACAUUAGGAUAGCACAGGAGUUUAAAUAAACAGCCACCCCUCUGUCGCAUACGCCCUGGCUCACACUCUUCUCCUGCCAUGCUUUCUCACAGGCUGUGUUGUGACAGGGCAUCCACCACUCUACCUUUAAUCUGACCUAAUGUUGCUUAUCUUCCAAGAUUUUGCUGUAUUGUCUGUUUUUCCAGGAAUACUCUGCAACAUACUUCCAUCACCUAGUUUUAUGAUGAUCUAUUUUCUAUGUUCCCCUGCUCCCUAAAACUUCAGUCUCCUUGAGAGUGGAAACUAAGUCUUAUUUUCAUUACAUCUCUAGUUCUUAACAGUUUUUCAAAAGAUGAUUAAACAGUGACUGUAGUAAAA
rnacentral:lncRNA from 1 species